rnacentral:tRNA from 2 species
GGAAGGGUGGCUGAGUUGGUUGAAGGUACCUGACUCGAAAUCAGGCGUACAGGAAACUGUAUCGGGGGUUCGAAUCCCUCCCCUUCCGCCA